UACGAAGGGGGCAAGCGUUGCUCGGAAUUACUGGGCGUAAAGCGCACGUAGUCGGGGCGGUAAGUCGGGGGUGAAAUCCUGGAGCUCAACUCCAGAACUGCCUUCGAAACUGUCGAUCUUGAGUUCGGGAGAGGUGAGUGGAACUGCGAGUGUAGAGGUGAAAUUCGUAGAUAUUCGCAAGAACACCAGUGGCGAAGGCGGCUCGCUGGCCCGAUACUGACGCUGAGGUGCGAAAGCGUGGGGAGCAAACAGG
rnacentral:rRNA from 1 species